AACAUAUAUACAGUCAUGACUCAUGAAUAUUGCCCCUGAAUGCAAGUUAAGCUUACAUUUUUGUUUGUGUUCAACGAGUAUAAAUUGACAGAAAAGAACUCACAUCUUUGAAAUAUCAAACAUGUUAAUGAUUCAUUUACUACAGUGUUGAACGACCGUAGUAUUUGGUCACAAAUAAUUUUGUCAUGUAAUUAACAGAUUAUUGGUUUGUAUAAUUUCCAGAUUAUAUUUCUCGGAGUAUCCCAGAUUCAGUUGUGUUGUAUCUAGUAUAUAUUUUCGAUUGUGAUAAUGGAAAAGGGAGCCUUUCAAUUGUUUUCAAAAAGCAUCAUAUAUCUAUAUAUAUUAAUAAAUGAGAUGAUUUGGGCUAUUUGUCUUUGAAUGGUGGAACCAUUUUGCUUAUGUGGCAUCCAUUGGUUGAGGAGAGUGUGAUUUUGAGAGAGAAUUCAUUCUCAAAGCUCAAUACACAAACAAACAAACAUUAGACGCGGGAUCCGUUUUGAUUUCGGGUUAUCUUAUACCCGUUCAUUCGGAUCUAUAUAAAAGGCACUACCCAGUAAUUCAGACCACUUUCUUUCCUAUUCCUUCUAAACCCUAGCCAACAACUUCAUCGUAUUCUUCGUUCUUCUUUGCCGAUCUGCCCUCUCAAUUCGAAAAUGAAGAUUAGCAUCAGUCUUGAUGUAAACUCAAUUCGAAGAUGCCUUCAUCAUAUUUCUGAUUGCUGUUGUUGUUUGUUGAUUUGAUUGAAGAAGAAUGAAGGUGUGUUUGUGUGACGGCUGAAUCUGAUGAAGGUGUGUUGUUGUUUGUUGAUUUGACAGUGGUCGGAGAUGAAGGGGAUUCAUCAAUCUUAAUCACAGCAAAUCUACAAAUGGGUUGGCACUUUUGGGAAAAGUAGCCACUUAUGCAUUGAAUCUAACUGGUUUCUUUUAUUGUCAAGCAAUCCCAAAUUCACUGUCCAAUGAGCCAUUAGACCUUUCGAGGGAUGAUGAUGGUGACAUGUACAGUUUCCAAACGAAAGAUAAAGAUGCUGACGUCAGUUUCAGGCCUCCUAAAUAUCAAACAGGGGUCUUAAAAACAAACUGCAUCGAUUGUUUGGAUCGUAAAAAUGUUGCUCAGUUUGCAUACGGUUGGGCUGCACUUGGUCGCCAAUUGCAUACUAUAGGUUAUAUAGAUACCCCUGAUAUCGAACUAGAUUCCGCUUUAGCAGAUGAUUUAAUGAGAAUUUAUGAAAAAAUGGGUGACACUCUAGCACUACAAUAUGGUGGUUCUGCAGCUCACAAUAAGAGGGUGAUUUUGGGAGGGAAUCAUUCUAAAUACACGGAGGUCCAUGAUUUAUGUGAGUUUUAUGUUGUAAAGACGAAGUUAGCGCAGAAUGCAUUCUGCUCAUGGGUGAGGGCGUACAGCACGCAUCGCGGGGAGUUGAAGAGUAUAUGCAUGGUGAAAAAGCUUCAUUUGGGACACGUGGCGAAAAGUUUUGCACUGAAGGAGCAGCCGUCACUGGUGGGGAGAUGGGUUUAGAAGAAGCACACAGAAAAGAGGAAAAGAACACAGGAAAGUAAAAGAAGGUUUGAAAAAGAAGAGAAAGAUGGCAAACCUGGAGGAGGGAGAUUGAGUUAGCAAAUGAACGGUGAAAGAUGAUUGAUGGUGAAGGUGCAAAUUGCAAGCAAGCAGCUGGCUGGAAGGAGAAUAGAAUGAAUGGUUUGACAACCACCAAAACAAAUGGGUUUUGGUCUCUUUAAAACGAGUCAACGUGAAUCACAAGUUGCUAUAUGGUGAUAUUAAUUCAGAUUCUCAGCCCCAACAUAAUCCCAACAGCAAGUGGUAUAUCAGCCUUGAGGUCAUCUCAUGGAGGUUCCGUCAUCUCUACCUCUGAGUCACCUCUUCGACCUUACCCCAUCUCCUACUUCCAAACCCACUACCCUCAUCCGCUGCUGUUCUUCCUCCGCCACCGCGCCAAAACACGGCGGCCGGAGUACACCACCCUCCACUCCGGUUCUACCGUCCAAUAGAGCCACCGUUGCUCCAAUUCGUCUUAAAAAGGUGGUCAUUGGAAAACAGAGCUGGUCAUUGGAAAACAUAGCUAUGUUUGAGGGAUCUAAAUGACACCAAUGGAAGAAUUACGAAUAUUUUUAGUAGGUAUGCUUCUACUCAGAAUUCUUUACAGUUUACAAUUAUAUCCCUAUUUUGUGGUUUGGAUAAAUUAAUGUUUUAAGCUUUGUUGAUCACAUACACGUUGCCAACUUUUUAAAUGCUUUCAUAUUGAUGUACAGAAGUGAUAUUUUGUUACGUCAAUCGGAACAUUUGUAUCCACUUGAAGUGUGGCAUACCAAUGAUACCAUUCUCUAAAAUAGAAGAAAUAACAGGACUUUCCACAGAAAUAUUUGAUUUCUGCCCUUUACAAACUCUGUAAUACGGAGGAAACUGUCAUUUAGAGUUGAUAAAACCACCAAAAUACUAUUUUGUUCGUUCCUUAUUGAACCUUAAAAAUAAAUUUAAGAAGCCAUUUAGGAAGUUUCAUACAAUCUAAAUACAUUUCGGACGACAUUUGUCCCAUUCAACCUAUUUCUUUUUUAGCUAAUAUUUUGUUUUACCAAUUUGACAUGUUAUAUAUCGACUCAUUUAUUUAUAAAAGGUCAAACUUUUCACAUGUGAUGAAAGAUGCAAAAUUAAAAAAAUGGUAGCAUGGAGCUCACUUACUAUAUAAACAUUUGUGAUUAAUAAAAUAUAAAUAUCCAACCCGUGAGUAUUCACGGGUGAUAACCUAGUUUAGAAGUUAUAUACAAGAUGUGCACCGGAGUAAAUUUGCCAUUUUUCCAAAUUUUUUUAUCUAAUAAACGAAUGAAUUAAUAAAAAAUAAGAGAAAACACUAUUUUGGUAAAUAGUUUUGAAAGAACACUGAAAUGUAAAUAUUUUUCCCCUGACACCACGAAAAAAAAUUGUUUUUUAACCAUAAAAAAUUUUAGAAGUUUACGUAUUUGGAAGCAAUCCACGGUUUGACGUGUGGUGUUAUGAACUAAAUUUGUGGCUUAAACAUUUUAUGUGUUAAGAUCGAUAAAGCAUAACAACUCCGUCAUUUAACAGUGGUGUUUUGAUGUACACAUGUAGUCCUGGUUCGUAUCUACUUGCAAUUCAGAUCUUUUACACGUACGAACUUUUGAUGUACAGUGGUGGAAUUACACUGCGCAUUGGCGGAUGUAUCGGUUGGUGUCGAUUCGUUUUAUUAAAGUUUUUGGAUAGUACCGACACCUCGUUUAACAACCGAAAAAGAUAAAAAAGAAUACAAAUACUGGUACGGAUAUUGUUCAAACGAUAUAGGUUAUGAUUGUCACUGUAUCGGUACGUUGCAGACACUCGCCAUAGCUUAUGAUUCCAAAAAAAUACUCUAUUGCGAAUACAACUACGUUUUAACGAAAUUGAUUCCGGAAA